GCUGGGCUCAGUGGCGUGUGCCUGUAGUCCCAGCUACUUGGGAGGCUGAGGUGGGAGGAUCGCUUGAGCCCAGGAGUUCUGGGCUGUAGUGUGCUAUGCAGAUCGGGUGUCCGCACUAAGUUUGGCAACAAUACGGUGACCUCCUGAGAGUUGGCGACCACCAGGUUGCCUAAGGAGGGAGGAAACGGCCCAAGUUGGAAACAGAGCAGGUCAAAACUCCUGUGCUGAUCAGUAGUGGGAUCGCACCUGUGAAUAGCCACUGCACUCCAGUCUGGGCAACAUAGCGAGACCCCAUCUCU
rnacentral:SRP_RNA from 1 species